rnacentral:lncRNA from 1 species
AAAAAGGUUAAAACCAGCCUGCAUCUUGGGAUUUCGGCCUUGUUGGAGGACUUGGGAGUUGACGAUGAUGGCAGUAUUAAGGUAACUUUGGUGCCAAGGAAUGUCCAGCGACCCGUCACCAUUGGUCGGAUCAAGAUCGACUAUUUUGCCUAGAUAAUUAGAAAAGAAGCUUGCUUAAUUUCAUGUAACAUAACAUUGUGUAAGAUGAUCAAGAUUCAAAAGACAACGGUAUACCUAUAAAUCAAUCAUCAGAUUCAGAAUUUCAGACCAAGUAACCAUGCCGGCUGCCGACUAAACUACCUGCUCU